GACGUAGGGCGCGAGCGUUGUCCGGAUUUAUUGGGCGUAAAGAGCUCGUAGGCGGCUUGUCGCGUCGACUGUGAAAUCCCGCGGCUCAACCGCGGGCUUGCAGUCGAUACGGGCAGGCUUGAGUUCGGUAGGGGAGACUGGAAUUCCUGGUGUAGCGGUGAAAUGCGCAGAUAUCGAGAGGAACACCGGUAGGCGAAGGCGGCUAUCUGGACGAUGACUGACGCUGAGACGCGAAAGCGUGGGGAGCAAACAGG
rnacentral:rRNA from 1 species